rnacentral:rRNA from 1 species
UACGUAGGGUGCAAGCGUUGUCCGGAAUUAUUUGGGCGUAAAGAGCUCGUAGGCGGUUUGUCGCGUCUGCCGUGAAAAUCCGGGGCUCAACCCCGGACUUGCGGUGGGUACGGGCAGGACUAGAGUGUGGUAGGGGAGACUGGAAUUCCUGGUGUAGCGGUGAAAAUGCGCAGAUAUCAAGGAGGAACACCAGCGGCGAAGGCGGCGCUCUGGGCCGGUACUGACGCUGAGGAGCGAAAGCGUGGGUAGCAAACAGG